AACGAACGCUGGCGGCAUGCCUAACACAUGCAAGUCGAACGAUACCUUCGGGUCUAGUGGCGCACGGGUGCGUAACGCGUGGGAACCUGCCUUUAGGUUCGGAAUAACUCCCCGAAAGGGGUUCUAAUACCGGAUAAUGUCUUCGGACCAAAGAUUUAUCGCCUUUGGAUGGGCCCGCGUUGGAUUAGCUAGUUGGUAGGGUAACAGCCUACCAAGGCGACGAUCCAUAGCUGGUCUGAGAGGAUGAUCAGCCACACUGGGACUGAGACACGGCCCAGACUCCUACGGGAGGAAGCAGUGGGGAAUAUUGGACAAUGGGCGAAAGCCUGAUCCAGCAAUGCCGCGUGAGUGAUGAAGGCCUUAGGGUUGUAAAGCUCUUUUACCCGGGAUGAUAAUGACAGUACCGGGAGAAUAAGCUCCGGCUAACUCCGUG
rnacentral:rRNA from 1 species